rnacentral:rRNA from 1 species
UGGGGAAUUUUGGACAAUGGGCGAAAGCCUGAUCCAGCAAUGCCGCGUGCAGGAAGAAGGCCUUCGGGUUGUAAACUGCUUUUGUACGGAACGAAAAGGCUCUUUCUAAUAAAGAGGGCCCAUGACGGUACCGUAAGAAUAAGCACCGGCUAACUACGUGCCAGCAGCCGCGGUAAUACGUAGGGUGCGAGCGUUAAUCGGAAUUACUGGGCGUAAAGCGUGCGCAGGCGGCGUGGUAAGUCACUUGUGAAAUCUCCGAGCUUAACUCGGAACGGUCAAGUGAUACUGCUGUGCUAGAGUACAGAAGGGGCAAUCGGAAUUCUUGGUGUAGCGGUGAAAUGCGUAGAUAUCAAGAGGAACACCUGAGGUGAAGACGGGUUGCUGGGCUGAUACUGACGCUGAGGCGCGAAAGCUAGGGUAGCAAACGGGAUUAGAUACCCACGUAGUCCCUGAGCGGGCUGGCAAG